UGUCCACUCCCUUCGGGACGCCCUCAUUCCCCUCCCCCACAGGGGUGUGGCCGCGCCCCGGGCCUCUCUGAGGCCCCGUCUUCCUAGCCGAUCGCCCCGCGCCGAAGCGAAGCCCACGUCAGCAGCUUUCCCCGGGAAAGGCGGCCGUUCCCAAACCUGCCAUCCCAAACGUGCGGGUUCCAGCCAAGCCCGGAAGGUGGGCGUGCAAAUGGGGCAGUCCCUCUGAAACCCGUUGGCACGGUGUAUUACUAUUUUAAAAUCACGUGACUUUUGGUAUCCGCACUUCCUACCUAUAGACCCAAACAGGGUCUUUGCAGAUGUCAGUCAAGAUUUGAGAUGAGAUUGCCAUGGAUUAUCUGGGUGGACCCUAACUGCCGUCUGGAAUGUCCUUAUAAGAGAGAAGCAGGACUUCCCUAGAGGUUAAGAACCUGUCUGCCAGUGCAAGGGACGUGGGUUCGAUCCCGGGAAGAUUCCAAAUGCCACGGGGCAACUAAGCCCAUGCACCAUGACUCCUGAGCCCAUGCUACAUACAGCUAUUGAAGCUUGCAGCCUAGAGGCCAUGCUCGGAAACAAGAGAAGCCAUCAAAACGAGAAGCCGAGCACUGCAGCUGGAGAGUAGCCCCUACACACUGCAGCUAGAGAAAGCCUGCACACAGCAGUGAAGACCUAGCACAGCCAAAAGAAAAAAGAAAAGAAAGAAAGAAGCAAAGGAAGAGGAUGCAGACAUAGAGAAGAGGCACAGAAUCAGAGGAGGCUAUGUGGAGACGGAGGCAGAGACCAGAGUGAUGGGGCCCCAGCCCAGGAACACCUAGAGUCACCAGAAGCUGCAAGAAGUAAGGAAGCCUCCUUCAUAGAGUGUCUGGAGAGCACACAGCUUUGCAGACACCUUCAUUUUGGACUUCUGGCUGACAGGGCUGUGAGAGAAUAAAUCACAGUUGUUCUGAGCCAGCUGGUCUGUGGUCAUUUUUUACAGCAGCCACAGGACAGGAACCCAGACCCUCGAGUGUAGCUACUAAUUCUUCAGAUUCCAAUGGAGAAAACUUUAAAUUAAAACCUUCAACUUUUAUUCCUUGACCUUGUCUCUGCAGAAUAAUUAUUGCUGAAGUGAAAGAAUUCUUACGCUGUGUCCUGACCCCCAGCAGGCUGUUUUCGG
ensembl:lncRNA